UGAAGACUGUGGCCAUUAAUCUUCUGCCCUCCAUACACCCUUCCUAAUGUCAAUAAAAUGGUCUAAUGGUACACAAAUCUCAAGGUAAAAAUGUGUCCCAGUACUGAAGGGGUUAAUUAAUUCUGGAAGGGUGUUCAAUAUCCGAAUUAUUACAGAUCUAAAACUUAUUAUCUCACGAAACAAUGUCAUUUUAACCCCUUCAGUACUGGGACGCAUUUUUACCUUGAGUUUUUAGUGCAAUUAGAUCAUUUUAUUGACAUUCAGAAGAGUCUUAUGGAAGGUUCUUGAGAUCCAGGGAUUUUGAAGUCCGAGUGUCAAUUGUUCAAGGUAAAGAGCGUUUGAAGUCCAGGCGUGAAUUUUUGAGAUCCAGAGUUUUUGAAAUCCAUUAAGUGAAUUUUUGAGAUCUAAAGAUUUUGAAUAUUUGAAGACUGGGAGUGAAUUAUUAAGAUCUAGAAUAUUUGAAGACCAAGAGUGAAUUAUUAAGGUUUUGAAUAUUUGAAGACCAAGAGUGAAUUAUUAAGAUCUAGGAUAUUUGAAGACCAAGAGUGAAUUAUUAAGAUCUAGGAUAUUUGAAGACCAGGAGUGAAUUAUUAAGAUCUAGGAUAUUUGAAGACCGAGAGUGAAUUAUUGAGAUCUAGGAUAUUUGAAGACCGAGAGUGAAUUAUUAAGGUUUUGAAUAUUUGAAGACCAAGAGUGAAUUAUUAAGGUCUAGGAUAUUUGAAGACCAGGAGUGAAUUAUUAAGAUCUAGGAUAUUUGAAGACCGAGAGUGAAUUAUUGAGAUCUAGGAUAUUUGAAGACCGAGAGUGAAUUAUUAAGGUUUUGAAUAUUUGAAGACCAAGAGUGAAUUAUUAAGGUCUAGGAUAUUUGAAGACCAGGAGUGAAUUAUUAAGAUCUAGGAUAUUUGAAGACCGAGAGUGAAUUAUUGAGAUCUAGGAUAUUUGAAGACCGAGAGUGAAUUAUUAAGGUUUUGAAUAUUUGAAGACCAAGAGUGAAUUAUUAAGGUCUAGGAUAUUUGAAGACCAGGAGUGAAUUAUUAAGGUUUUGAAUAUUUGAAGACCAAGAGUGAAUUAUUAAGAUUUGGAAUAUUUGAAGACCGAGAGUGAAUUAUUGAGAUUUGGAAUAUUUGAAGACCGAGAGUGAAUUUUUGAGAUUUUGAAUAUUUGAAGACCAAGAGUGAAUUAUUAAGAUUUUGAAUAUUUGAAGACCAAGAGUGAAUUAUUAAGGUUUGGAAUAUUUGAAGACCAAGAGUGAAUUAUUAAGGUCUAGGAUAUUUGAAGACCAGGAGUGAAUUUUUGAGAUUUUGAAUAUUUGAAGACCAAGAGUGAAUUAUUAAGGUCUAGGAUAUUUGAAGACCAGAAGUGAAUUUUUGAGAUUUUGAAUAUUUGAAGACCAAGAGUGAAUUUUUGAGAUUUUGAAUAUUUGAAGACCAAGAGUGAAUUUUUGAGAUUGGAAUAUUUGAAGACCAAGAGUGAAUUAUUAAGAUUUGGAAUAUUUGAAGACCAAGAGUGAAUUAUUGAGAUUUUGAAUAUUUGAAGACCGAGAGUGAAUUAUUAAGGUCUGGAAUAUUUGAAGACCGAGAGUAAAUUAUUGAGAUCCAGAGUGUUUGAAGUCCGAGAGUCCACUGUAUUAGUAUUACCCGUAUUAUUAACAACUUCCUUUUAUAAUUUAUUGAAAAAUAUGCCAAAUAAAUUAGUGAUAACACAAACAAAUAUAUUUAAACACACAAAACUUACGUAAAAAAGACAAGUGUUUUUUUUUUUUUUUUUUUUUUUUUUUUUUUGUAAUUUCCUCAAAGAAUUACAUCGAAAACCAAAAAUAAUAGGAUUGAUAAUUCGUGAUACAAAAUUACAUAUAUAUAUAUAAGAGAAUGUUAAUACAGAUUACAUAAACAGUUGUAUGUAGGAGUGAAUAUGUCUUAUCUAAUGAGAUGUAUUGUAAAAAAGAUUGGAUUUUUUUUAACAGUUCUUAAAUAGAUUAGAUUUUUAAUUGUGGUGAUAAUAUUGAUAAGGAAAAGAAGAUGAAGAAGAAGAAAAUAUUGAUAACAAGAAUAAGAAAAACAAGAAAAAUAUGUUUAAUUUUUCGUUUUAGUGCAAAAUUUUAGAAAGUUGGAAAAAUGUGAAAAAAAAUGUUGAAAUUAUGAUUUUUUUUGAACAGUUGAUAAGAAAUAGAUUAGAUUUUUAAUAGUAGUGAUAAUAUUGAUAAGAAAAAGAAGAGGAAGGAAAAUAUGAUGAAGAAGAAGAAGAAUGAGAAAUAUUGAUAAUGAGAUGUAUUGUAAAAAAGAUUGGAUUUUUUUAACAGUUCUUAAAUAGAUUAGAUUUUUAAUUGUGGUGAUAAUAUUGAUAAGGAAAAGAAGAAGAAGAAGAAGAAGAAGGAGAAAAUAUUGAUAACAAGAAUAAGAAAAACAAGAAAAAUAUGUUUAAUUUUUCGUUUUAGUGGAAAAUUUU